GAUGAACGCUGGCGGCGUGCCUAAUACAUGCAAGUCGAACGGUCGGUUUCGGCCGAUAGUGGCGAACGGGUGAGUAACGCGUUGGUGACCUGCCCCGAAGAGCGGGAUAACAGACCGAAAGGUUUGCUAAUACCGCAUGUGCUGGUAGAGGACUAGAGCUUUACCAGGAAAGGGAGAAAUCCGCUUUGGGAGGGGCCUGCGUCCCAUCAGCUAGUUGGUAAGGUAACGGCUUACCAAGGCGAUGACGGGUAGGGGACCUGAGAGGGUGACCCCCCACAAUGGAACUGAAACACGGUCCAUACACCUACGGGUGGCUG
rnacentral:rRNA from 1 species